rnacentral:rRNA from 1 species
CCUACGGGAGGCAGCAGUCGGGAAUUUUGGGCAAUGGGCGAAAGCCUGACCCAGCAACGCCGCGUGAGGGAUGAAGGCCUUCGGGUCGUAAACCUCUUUCA